CUAAACUGGUGGUACCUUCUACUCAAACUGAUAUUCUCCCACAACACAAAUUGUUUUUGUGUGGAUAUGAUGUGUUAAACCGAACAGUGUGGUAUAUCAUUAACUGUGCACAGGAUUGGAAUUGAAUUAUAUACUUCACUCAUGACCUUCAAAACAUUCUCUACUAUUCAGUGGUCUUUGAUAUAUGAUUGACUCUUUGCUACAGUGAUGCAUGUUCCUCGAAUAGUUUGUGUAUGUUACUCAACAGUUAAUGUUGGCAAGUGUAAACAACAAGUGACAGAACUUCUGCUUCAUAUGAUUACAAUAAAGUUUUGAAAAUGGGUAUGGAUUCACAAGUGACAGUUUACUAAAUAGACACUUUGAAUAUUGUUUGCAUGAGAUUUUUAUUUUUUGACCGCAUAAUUAUCCGAGUUACAAUGGGUCGUUCCAGAAAAAACCUUUACUCCCCCCACAGAGGAAAUUUCUGCCGUCCGGAGGGAGAGGGGAGAAAAAAUUGUUUAUGAUAAUAGUAAAUGUAUUAGGACAUGCGAAGGGAGUAGGGGGGUUAACUUCCUAUUUCCUCUGUGGGGGUCGUAUGGAUGUUUUUUGGAAUGACCCAGUCGCAAUCACAUAAAAUUAGUUAAAUUUUCUCUGCAGGGGGGGGGGGAUGCCCCUGCUGCCCUCCGUGCUGUAACAUAAUAAUAAGGUACAGCAGAAUUGUAACUCGAGUCGGUUCCCUUAUUGUUUUACGUUCACGAAAAUUUUAACUCGCUCACACCAUCCUGGCUAGUACAACCGGAAGUUUUUAUCAGGUUUUGGUAGAUGCCAAGUGCCGGUUGU